UUGGAUAUUGUUCAUUUGAUUGAGUAAUGAUUAUCUCUUCAAUAAUAACUUUUCCAAGUGUGUGCUAUGGGUACGCGCCCAGGUAACAGAGAUCAUCGUAUUAUGAUCCAAUAUAUUUCGAAACUGGAAUUAAACACUUCGUGUAGAGUUGAGAACAAGAACAAUAGAUGUCCAGCUCACGCUAUGAAAGGGCUUAUUGACCUUAUUUCGAUAUCGAGACAUUCGGCCAUGACAGCAUUUACAAGUGCGCGAUCCCACAAUGCACCGCAUAAAUGUAAACAAUAACAAUUAUGGGAAUAGAACCACGAUCGAGUAGACUAAGUGUGUAAAUGUUCGUUCAGUAUUGAAAUCUACAACUUUGAAUUAAUAAAUAACUGUUUGUCAAACAUUUUCCAGAAAUGUCAGUAUCAUUACAAGUUUCCCGUACAUUAUGCCCGCCAGUUUUUAUUGCUAUGUCGACGGCAGUAAACAUUCCCUAAACACUACUUUUGAACUCAUGCUAUAUCAGUAUACACACUACUCCCAGCUCUACAUACACAUUCCAAUUGCGUCGGCUCUUUAACGCUUCAUCGUCUUGAAUAAGCAGCCGAUAAGCAUGUUUCUACCGCCCAGGCUCGGGAAGUCAGUGAUCGUGAUACAAUUAGAUACAUACGAAUCUGUUAUGGUUAUUAUGCAGAACCCUGCCUCUGGUGGAAACUCUUUUGCCUCAACGUAGAAAAUAUUACAGCAGCAACCCUAUGACUAUAUUUAAUCAAAGGACAUCUAUUUACUUAGACAUUGAGAAGACUCCUGUUUUACCGAGUGGAAUUAGUAAUUACGUAGUAUGAGGUCAAUUCCGUACCAGGAGAGAAGAAGAUGUCGUCCUAAUCAGUAGUUCAGAUUAGUCCUUACAACUAUAUUAAUUCCGCAAGUCCUUCAACACUAGCCCAACAGCACUGAGGGCACUUUUAGAUCAUACAGAACACAUCAGGUUUACCAUAUAUACGGGUUUAUCAUAUACUACUGCAGUACGGUGUGAAGAGCAGCAUGGAGAUUCGAGGACACGUAUAUAUGUCUGAACUUCUUAAGGAUAUGCAACUGAAUAUAUUGUAUUGGUGGAAACUUUGCCUUUGUUAAGUAUAAGUAAUAUUUUGUAUUUUAUUGAUAAGCAAAACAUACAUCUGUAAUAACAGCAGAUACAUAUAUAAUAAGUAAUACUAUGUAUUAAUGUCUCAUAUUUUAGCACAUAGUAUCACACAGUAUUUAUAUCUCUAUUCUAGAUUGUUCCACACCUGCAGAGAUCUCUUCAGGUGAACAUUUCGUACAGUAUAAGUAUGAAUAUAUAUUUAUAUGUAUUAUAUUUCAGCACAUAGUACAGAUGCACACAGUAUUUAUCAUGUUCAUAUAUCUAUUCUAGAUUGCUAUCUCUAUUCUAGAUUAUUCUACACCUUCCAGGACAUUUCUCAGUCAUAUGUAUUCAUUUUAUAUGUAUGAUAUUUCAUCACAUAGCACACAGUUUUUAUCAUAUUUAUAAAUUUAUUCCAGAGUGUUCCACACCUGCCUGGAUCUCUCCAGGUGUAUAUUUCGUACAGUAUAUUAAGAAAUAAUAUGAAUUUAAAUGUAUAUAUUUCAGCACAUAGUACAUGAAGCACACAGUAUUUAUCAUGUUCAUAUCUCUAUUCUAAUUUGCUAUCUCUAUACUAGAUUAUUUUACACAUUCCAGGAUCUCCCAAGGUGGACAUUUCUUAGUAUAAGUAAUGCAUACAUGUAUGUAUUUAUUUUAUAUGUAUUAUAUUUCAGCACAUAGUACAUGUAGCACACAUGUACAGUAUUUAUCAUGUUUAUAUCUUUAGUCUAGAUUGCUCCACACAUGCAGGGAUCUCCCCAAGUGGCCAUUUCAUACAGUACAGUUAUAAUAUAAAUUAUAUUUCAG
rnacentral:lncRNA from 1 species